GAUCAAGCGCAUAAGGGCUUCUGACGGAUGCCUUGGCAUUGAGAGGCGAUGAAGGACGUGGCACGCUGCGAUAAGAGCCGGGGAGGCGCGAGCACCCUUUGAUCCGGCUAUCUCCGAAUGGGGAAACCCACCUUUACGGUCACCCGACUUAGCUUUGCCCACCCUAUUCUUCGGAAUAGAGGCAGAGCCAGGAUCGGUUGGUCGGAAGAGGUAUAAUGAUCUGAAUACAUAGGGUCAUUAAGCAAACCCGGGGAACUGAAACAUCUCAGUACCCGGAGGAAAGGACAUCAACCGAGACUCCCGUAGUAGUGGCGAGCGAACCGGGACCAGGCCAGUGCUGUCGUGACAUAAAGCUGAACGAGCUGGGAAGCUCGGCCAUAGUGGGUGAUAGCCCCGUAAGCGUCAAAUAGCGACAGACUUGAGUAGGGCGGGACACGUGAAAUCCUGUCUGAACAUGGGGGGACCACCCUCCAAGCCUAAGUACUCCUCAAUGACCGAUAGCGAACAAGUACCGUGAGGGAAAGGUGAAAAGCACCCCGACAAGGGGAGUGAAACAGAUCCUGAAAUCGGAAGCCUACAAGCAGUCGGAGCCACCGCGCGUGGUGACGGCGUACCUUUUGUAUAAUGGGUCAGCGACUUCAUGUGCCGUGCAAGCUUAAGCCGUUAGGUGUAGGCGCAGCGAAAGCGAGUCUGAAUAGGGCGAAUAAGUACGUCGCAUGACGACCCGAAACCAGGUGAUCUAUCCAUGAGCAGGUUGAAGGUUGGGUAACACCAACUGGAGGACCGAACCGGUGAAUGUUGAAAAAUUCUCGGAUGACUUGUGGAUAGGGGUGAAAGGCCAAUCAAACCUGGACAUAGCUGGUUCUCCGCGAAAACUAUUUAGGUAGUGCCUCAGACGGACUCCUCGGGGGGUAGAGCACUGAAUGGAUGCGGGCGGCGCGAGCUGUACCAAUUCUAAUCAAACUCCGAAUACCCGAGAGAGAUAUCUGGGAGACACACGGCGGGUGCUAACGUCCGUCGUCAAAAGGGAAACAACCCUAACCAUCAUCUAAGGCCCCCAAGUACUGGCUAAGUGGGAAACGAUGUGGGUUUGCUUUGACAACCAGGAUGUUGGCUUAGAAGCAGCCAUCAUUUAAAGAAAGCGUAACAGCUCACUGGUCAAGCGAACCUGCGCGGAAAAUGUAACGGGGCUAAAGCCAGUCGCCGAAGGUAUGGGUUUGCACUUUGUGCAAGCGGUAGCGGAGCGUUCCGUAAGCCGAUGAAGGUGAGGCGUGAGCCUUGCUGGAGGUAUCGGAAGUGAGAAUGCUGACAUGAGUAGCGAUAAAGAGGGUGAGAGACCCUCUCGCCGAAAACCCAAGGGUUCCUGCGUAAAGCUAAUCUGCGCAGGGUUAGCCGGCCCCUAAGGCGAGGCGGAAACGCGUAGUCGAUGGGAACCAGGUAAAUAUUCCUGGGCCAGUUGGAAGUGACGGAUCUGGUAAAUUGUCAGUCCUUAUUGGAUUGGUUCUGGCAGUGAACAGGUCCCUGGAAAUAACUCCAACGGAGACCGUACCCGAAACCGACACAGGUGGGUAGGUAGAGUAUACCAAGGCGCUUGAGAGAACUGUGCUGAAGGAACUCGGCAAAUUGCACGCGUAACUUCGGGAUAAGCGUGACUCUUCUUUGGGCAACCAGAAAAGAGUGGCACAAGCCAGGGGGUAGCGACUGUUUAUCAAAAACACAGGGCUCUGCGAAGCCGCAAGGCGACGUAUAGGGUCUGACGCCUGCCCGGUGCCUGAAGGUUAAAAGGAGGGGUGCAAGCUCUGAAUUGAAGCCCAGGUAAACGGCGGCCGUAACUAUAACGGUCCUCAGGUCCCGAAAUUCCUUGUCGGGUAAGUUCCGACCUGCACGAAUGGCGUAACGACUUCCCCACUGUCUCCAGCACAGGCUCAGCGAAAUUGAAUUCCCCGUGAAGAUGCGGGGUUCCCGCGGUCAGACGGAAAGACCCUAUGAACCUUUACUGCAGCUUCGCCUUGGCGUUAGCAAUAACAUGUGUAG
rnacentral:rRNA from 1 species